UUGUGCUAGGAGGCUGGAGAGGCUA
rnacentral:misc_RNA from 1 species